CCUACGGGUGGCAGCAGUGGGGAAUAUUGCACAAUGGGGGAAACCCUGAUGCAGCGACGCCGCGUGAGUGAAGAAGUAAUUCUUUACGUAAAGCUCUAUCAGCAGGGAAGAAAAUGACGGUACCUGAGCAAGAAGCCCCGGUUAACUCCGUGUCAGCAGCCGCGGUCAUACGUGGGGGGCAAGCGUUAUCCGGAUUUACUGGGUGUAAAGGGGGCGUAGACGGUGCGCCAAGUCUGGAGUGAAAUGCCGCAGCUUAACUGCGGAACUGCUGUGGAAACUGGCGAACUGGAGUGCGGGAGGGGUAAGCGGAAUUCCUGGUGUAGCGGUGAAAUGCGUAGAUAUUAGGAGGAACACCGAUGGCGAAGGCGGCUUACUGGACCGUAACUGACGUUGAGGCUCGAAAGCGUGGGGAGCAAACAGGAUUAGAUACCCCAGUAGUC
rnacentral:rRNA from 1 species